AGAUUUUGAUGUGUUAAGGUAUAUUGUAACUCUUUUCUGUUUUUCAUUUGAAAACAAAACGAUUUGAUGGUCAAAUUUGAUUAAAUAAAUAAUAAAUAUGUUGAGAAGACAUUGUUAAUGAUGUGUUAAUAAAAAAACAAAUUUUCUCUAAGUAAUUAACAUAAUGACUUAAUGGUUACCUUUUUAAAUAUAAGUAGUCAAGUUAAUAAAUCUUAAAUAGUAAGAUAAUUAUAAUUUAACAAUUUUGUAGGCGUUAAUGUGGAAAAUGUAGUUUUAAAAUUGAUAAAUAAUGUGAAGUUUUUCAGAUGCCAUGAUGAUGAACAAUAUCAUUUUGUUAAUUAAAAUAUAGCUGCUAUUCGCUCUGAGUAAAGCCAUGGUAGAGGAAAUCAAAUUGACUGAAGCGUUUGCAGUGGUUACUUUCGGAGUUACGGGAGGCUAUGAUUACUGAAAUUGUAAGCAAGCACACGUGAAAGUAUUUAUUUUGUUAUUAUUUAAUUAUUUAUUUUUCAUUUUGAUUUUUUCCUUAGUAUCAUAUUUUGACUUUGAUAUGAAUUUCAAACAACUUAACCUAAAUGCUUACUGCAAUCUUUUUUAUUUUUUAUCAUUAUACUUACUUAUUGAUGGUCCGUUUAGCUAAAAAACAAAACUGCAAUUACUAUAAAACUGUCACAUAUUUUUUACAACUUUUUUUUUUACUAUUAUUUAUAAUAUUUAUUUAUUUUUAUGUUUCUUGCUAUUGACAUACGUAUAAAAACAUACUCUGACAGCCUCCCGUAGUUCAUAUUUUGUCUGGCGCUGCAGUCACACUCAUAGCGAAUAAUAAAAACUGAAAUGACUUUCUUGGCUAAUUUAAACUAACAAAAACAUGUUUAAGGUUAAUGUGAUUAAUUAUGCAAAUUAUAUAUCCUCUAUUUCUAUGCAAAAAUUUAUAUUUAAAAAAUGACAAUACAAGUGAAUGUGGAUGUAGCUAAUGAUACGGAAUUUAUUUAUUUUGAGAUGAAUGAAUAAAAUGCACUUUGAAAUUCUUAUUGCGAGAAGCACGAAGCAAUUUAGAAGACUUGAUGGAAAAAAAAUUAACAGCAUCUGAAAAAAAACGUCAAACUAUAAUUAAUAAUGAAGAAUACAGCUAUUUUUGGCAAAAAAUAGAUGAAAAAAUUAGUAACUCAGACAGCAAAGAAAAUAUUAAUUUGUUACCACUAAUCAAAGAAUUAUCAACUUUAAAAAAAUUAGAAGAUAGCGAAACUAAUCUAGUAAUAGAAAUGAUGAAAAAUGAAAAGAAAUUAGAAGAAACUGAAAAAGAAUUAAAUACAGAUGGAAAAAAAAAAGAUAAUAAAAAACAAAAAACAAAAGAGAACGAAGAAAAUCUUACUGUUGAUGACUAUUAUUGCAUAGUAAAUGACAAUGAACACCCCGAAUUAUUAGUAGAACAAAUAAAAUCAGUGCGAAGAAAACUAAAUGAAUACGAUGAUACUAAAAUAGCUUUUAAAGUAAUCGAUUUACCUUCAAAUUUAGUUAACAGCAACGAAAAAGAAUUAUCAUUUUCAGAAAAUUUAAAAAAAGAAAGUAAAUAUAAUUACUACAUAUUUGAAAAUUCAAAUUUUACACAAACAACUCCAUAUGUAUUUGUUUUAAAAAAAGAAAAAAAUGGCAUUGCAAAAAACGGCAAAGGUUUGGAGAUAAAUAUAGAAAAUGAAAUAAUAUAAUAAUAAAGUAUGCUGUGUAUUUUUUAUUACACUAACA